rnacentral:rRNA from 1 species
AACGAACGCUGGCGGCAGGCUUAACACAUGCAAGUCGAGCGCCCCGCAAGGGGAGCGGCAGACGGGUGAGUAACGCGUGGGAAUCUACCGAGCCCUGCGGAAUAGUUCCGGGAAACUGGAAUUAAUACCGCAUACGCCCUACGGGGGAAAGAUUUAUCGGGGUUUGAUGAGCCCGCGUUGGAUUAGCUAGUUGGUGGGGU